rnacentral:rRNA from 1 species
GAGGAAAGAGGGAGGAGGGAUGAAUACAUGCAAGUCGAGCGAACGGACGAGAAGCUUGCUUCUCUGAUGUUAGCGGCGGACGGGUGAGUAACACGUGGAUAACCUACCUAUAAGACUGGGAUAACUUCGGGAAACCGGAGCUAAUACCGGAUAAUAUUUUGAACCGCAUGGUUCAAAAGUUAAAGACGGUCUUGCUUUCACUUAUAGAUUGAUCCGCGCUGCAUUAGCUAGUUGGUAAGGUAACGGCUUACCAAGGCAACGAUGCAUAGCCGACCUGAGAGGGUGAUCGGCCACACUGGAACUGAGACACGGUCCAGACUCCUACGGGAGGCAGCAGUAGGGAAUCUUCCGCAAUGGGCGAAAGCCUGACGGAGCAACGCCGCGUGAGUGAUGAAGGUCUUCGGAUCGUAAAACUCUGUUAUUAGGGAAGAACAUAUGUGUAAGUAACUGUGCACAUCUUGACGGUACCUAAUCAGAAAGCCACGGCUAACUACGUG